ensembl:lincRNA
AAAAUAUCUUGUAUCACCAACCUCUUUAUUAGCAUACUUGUCAGCUCUUACUUAAAAUGCAUCUUAUCUUAUCAAGAUUCGAGAAAGAGAAGAGAGAAGGAAGAAAGAACGUGAAGAAAAAGAAAAAUAUGAAGCUAAACUGGAAGCUGAAAUGAAAAUUUAUAUCCCCUGGGGGAAAAGUGGAGGUGGUGCUCCUUUGAGGGAUGCAAAAGGAAAUUUGAUAACUGAUUUGAAUAGGAUGCACAAACAAAAUAUAGAUGCCUACCAUAACCCAGAUGCAAGAACAUAUGAAGAUAAAAGGGCUGUUGUAUCUCUAAACCAAAAUUUAGCCACUUCAAAUGCUGAGAACCUAGAAGAUUCUGCAAAUAACAAUUCAGGUCAUGUGCAAACACAGAGUUCUCCUUUUGCUCGGGGAAAUAUAUUUGGUGAGCCUCCAACUGAACUUCAGAUUAAACAGCAAGAGUUAUACAAGAAUUUUCUUCGUUUUCAGCAAAGGCUAAAAAAUGAAGAGCUCAUUCGGUUAGCUGAAGAAAGACGAAAAGAAGUAGAAAGAAAGAAGAAAGAAGAAGAAGAAAAGCAUAACCUGAAACUUCAGCACCACUAUGAAAGAGAAAAUAAGAUUGGGGAAGAAACAAAGCACUUGAGACAGCCUUCUCCUGUAGUUCCUGCUCUUCAGAACAAAAUUACAAGCAAACUCCAAAGACCUCCUUCAGUUGACAGCAUCAUAAGUUCCUUUAUUCAUGAAAGUCCACUCUCCAGGGCACAGUCUCCUCCAGUACCUGCAAGGAAAAAUCAGCUCCGUGCAGAAGAGGAGAAAAAAAAUAUAAUUAUGGAAUUAUCAGAAAUGAGAAAACAGCUUCGCAGUGAAGAGAGGCGUUUACAAGGGCAGUUGCUCCACAUGGACAGUGAUGAUGAAAUUUUUAUAAAGAAAAGAGAAAGGAAUCCUGUAGAUGUAUUUGACAUGGCCAGACAUCGAGUGCAAGCUCCUGUCAGAAGACAUUCACCUAAAGGCUUAGCUGCUGCCACUUUUCAGAAUAUUCAUGAUUUUAAUGUGCUGAAAGAUAGAGAUUCAGAAACACGAGUUGACUUGAAAUUGAUGUACCCAGAUCCUCCAAGAGAUCAUCACACUUUAGAGAUUCAACAGCAAGCCCUGCUUAGAGAGCAGCAGAAGAGGCUGAACAGAAUAAAAAUGCAGGAAGGUGUUGAGGUUGAUUUAGACACCAUCCCAAGUGCUAAAGUACGAGAGCACAGAAUGCCCAGAAAUGACACUAAUGAUUUCUUGAAAAAUUCACUGCUGGAAUCUGAUAGUGCUUUUAUUGGUGCUUAUGGGGAGACAUAUCCUGCCAUAGAUGAUGAUGCCUUCCCUCUACCAUCACAGAUGCCCUCUGCGAGAGAGCGCAGGAGGAACAAAUUGAAAGGACUGGAAUUUGAUAUCAGUUGUCCUAAUAUACCACCAGAUGGCCUCUCUUUAAGAUCUAUUUCCAGUGUAAAUGUUGAUCAGCUUAGACUGAGAAAUGAAGAACGAAUACAAAGACUGACUGAACUUCAGAAUAAAUUAAUUAAUACAGAUGAUGAAAGUUCACUGGUUGACCCCGAUGACAUCAUGAAACAUGAUGAUGGAUCAAACUCUGUAGCAACUGAGCCAUGGCUCCGCCCUGGCACCUCAGAAACACUGAAACGCUUCAUGGCUGAACAGCUCACCCAGGAACAGCAGCAGGCUCCUGGAAAGCCAGGCACUUUCACUUGGCAGGGCCUGUCUACUGCACAUGGUUAA